rnacentral:rRNA from 1 species
CCUACGGGGUGCAGCAGUGGGGAAUAUUGCACAAUGGGGGGAACCCUGAUGCAGCAAUGCCGCGUGGGUGAAGAAGCACUCCGGUGCGUAAAGCCCUGUCAGCAGGGAAGAAAAUGACAGUACCUGGACAAGAAGCCCCGGCUAACUACGUGCCAGCAGCCGCGGUAAUACGUAGGAUGCGAGCGUUAUCCGGAUUUAUUGGGUUUAAAGGGUGCGCAGGCGGAAGAUCAAGUCAGCGGUAAAAUUGAGAGGCUCAACCUCUUCGAGCCGUUGAAACUGGUUUUCUUGAGUGAGUGAGAAGUAUGCGGAAUGCGUGGUGUAGCGGUGAAAUGCAUAGAUAUCACGCAGAACUCCGAGUGCGAAGGCAGCAUACCGGCGCUCAACUGACGCUCAUGCACGAAAGUGUGGGUAUCGAACAGGAUUAGAUACCCUGGUAGUC